CGUGUAGGCGGUAUUGUAAGUCAGAUGUAAAAGGCUACGGCUUAACCGUAGAUGGUCAUUUGAAACUGCAGUACUUAAGUGCGAGAGAGGGUAGUGGAAUUCCCAGUGUAGCGGUGAAAUGCGUAGAUAUUGGGAAGAACACCAGUAGCGAAGGCGGCUACCUGGCUCGUAACUGACGCUAAUGCGCGAAGCGUGGGGAGCGAACA
rnacentral:rRNA from 1 species